GGAGAGCAACAGAGGAGAGAGCAAGUUGUUGAUCUUUAGAUCUCUGCUGUUUUGAAAGUGAUAAGGCUGUUAAACAUCACACAGAGAGUUCUUCCAUAUUACACCUGUACCAUACUAUCGUCACAACCAAAGUCCAUACAGGAGCCCGAGGCUGACAAUAAAGCUGGGUUUGUAUGGAGAAACAGUGAUGGGAGCAAGAAGAUGGCAAAGAUGUUCCAUCUAUUGUUUUCUGGACUGAUAAAGGUGGAUGAAGAUCUUCCUAACUUUCAUCAAGCUUUGGGAGAGGUUGAAUUCAAAGGGUUGCAGGCCUUCAGUUGUCCACUGCGUUCUCCAGACAUCAGUCUGAUGCAUACUUCAACAACAAACGGAAAAAGGCAUCAAUCAUUACAGAUCCUGAAUUUUUACCUGUUUGAUACAGCAUUUGAUGUGGCUGGGAAGAAGACUGAAAGACAGUAAAGUUUCACAGAUUUGUCAAACUUAAAAUAAAAGCCUCUACAACUGGGUAAGUGUCA
rnacentral:lncRNA from 1 species